GUUUCAUGUUCGGGGGGGGGGGUCGCCCCGCCCGAUUCUCCCCGGGAAACAAAGAUGGAGUCACGCCUGUCUUCUCGCCCACUUGCUCGCGCUGCAAAGUCAGCCAAACAUCUGUCUUCGGUCCACACAGAAACAACACGCACUGUCCGUUACACAAAGUCCGAUACUUUCCCAGGUCAGGAUCAACGUGUGUUGGUAAAGCGAGACAACGGUUUCAUCACCUGGGGAUGAGCGUCCUGCUGUAUUGUGGGCGCGCUGAAGUUAUUUAACCCUGUCAUCAGGGCUUUCAGCGUAUAAUGUUGACGGAACUUCCAUGCUGUUGUUGGCCGGGGCCCACAAACAGACACAAUGGUGGAUGUGUUUCUCAUAUAUUGUUUCUCCCUCAUGGUUUGCUGACCAAGCAAUAUUGGAAUGACUUGUUAUUGUGUACUUGGCAUGUUUUGCUCUUGUUUAUCAUUUUUCUUGUGAAUGGUGCUGCUUCCUGUCCAGCGCUCUGUUUUUGUUUUGUUCCACUCCCUGUUUUGCUUUGUUUUUCCACUGACUUUAACCCUGUUCCUGAGCACUGUUCUCCUCACCUGUCUCUGAUUGCCAAUCAGGAGGAUUCUCUAGCCAUCCUGACCUUACUGAUGGGGCUGAUUCGUUAGGUAUGUAUGCAUACUCUUCGUGUUUUUGCUAUUUUGCUCACCCGUGGUCUACAACAGUUGUUUUAUUUUAUAUUAAUUUGUCGCCUCCUGUCUCUGCAUGCCGCCGCCAUGCCGCUCUGUUCUGUCCUAUAUUGGAGUGGAAGCUGCAGUCCACCCGGAACAAACAUCAUGUUGAAGGUCUUCAACAAGAUGGUGGACGGGACUUGAUGAGCUGGCGAAAAAGCUUUUACUGUUUGAAGUUGUCGUCGACAGACUUCCUCUCUGAAAGACGUUAGCGCACGUGCGCGGAAUGCGAGAGGAAGGAGGACUCGGGCGAGGCGAAGGAGGCUGGCACGUUUUUCCCUUUUGCCCAAUUCAAAGAGGUCAGAGUCGGUCCAUCAAACGUAUCGAGCUGACAGACGCAAACGAUAUCGACGGAAUGUCAAGAACAACAGAAGCUGCGUGUGUGUGUGUGUGUGUGUGUGUGUGUGUGUGAGAAAGAUCAGAAACAAAGCAACGCACUCCACACUGAACAUAAAUAUCACCGACUGUCAGUCAAACGCACACAACGCAAAUGUAAGCAACAAGCUGACAUCUUUGAAUGUUUCGUUACCAAUGCAGACACGUUUUUUUUUUUUUUUUUUUUUACAUUUUCAGAAGUUCAACACUUCCUGUCAUCGAAUCUUAUUUGUGUGAAUGUUUGGAAAUUCACACAGUUACAAUUGUUUCAAAUGCAACGAUACAUAUAUGUAGGGUUGUCUCGAUACCAAUAUUUUGGUACCGGUAUCGAAAUGUAUUUUGAUACUUUUUUUAAA